rnacentral:tRNA from 1 species
AGAUAGCUCAGUCGGUAGAGCAGGGGACUGAAAAUCCCCGUGUCGGUGGUUCGAUUCCGCCUCU